rnacentral:sRNA from 1 species
GCUGGGCAUGGUGGCGCGUACCUGUCAUCCCAGCUACUCAGGAGGCUGAGGCAGGAGAAUUGCCUGAACCCAGGAGCGGAGGUUGCGGUGAGCUGAGAUGGCGCCAUUGAACUCCAGCCUGGGUAACAAGAGCGAAACUCCAUCUCAAAAACAAAAAAAAUAAGGCGUCAAGAAUGAUGAAUCCUUUCUAGGUUUUCAGUUGACUUUUUUUUUUUUUUGAGACAGUUUUGCUCUUGUUGCCCAGGCUGGAGUGCAAUGGCACAAUCUCAGCUCACCACAACCUCCGCCUCCCGGGUUCAAGCAAUUCUCUUGCCUCAG